UACGGGGGAGCAAGCGUUGUUCGGAUUUACUGGCGUAAAGGGCGCGUAGGCGGCCAGCACAAGUCAGUUGUGAAAUCUCCGAGCUUAACUCGGAACGGUCAACUGAUACUGUGCGGCUAGAGUGCGGAAGGGGCAACUGGAAUUCUUGGUGUAGCGGUGAAAUGCGUAGAUAUCAGGAGGAACACCGAUUGCGAAGGCAGCUCGCUGGGACGUUACUGACGCUGAGACGCGAAAGCGUGGGGAGCAAACAGG
rnacentral:rRNA from 1 species